GGCAUGAAUUUUUAAUUAUGUAUUCUGAAUUAUUUCCAAUUAGGGCUAUAUUUCAGGACAGAUGACCUUCCAAUAUUUCCUAUGUAUCUGGAAUACAAACUGCUCAGGCUGGAGGAUGUGGCACAUCUUUGAGGCACUCUUGUUACAGAAAUGAUGCUGUGCAAGUGUUCGAGAUACCAUGGUGGAGCUUUGGCUUGUGCAUUACUCGGGAGGACUUCAGCACAUGAUCCCGUAGCUGACCACUGUGUGACCUUCUGGAGAAGAGCUGCCAUCUGGAGUUGAGUUUCAAUUCGAACAAAAGAGUAUGGUGCAUAAAGGGCACAGAUUCCCCUUGAUCUUUUGGUCCAGAAGAAAGGACCUAACAUCCCUCCAGUACGGUCGAAUGCAUGAGUGUUGCAAGUAUGUGAUAUUCUCAUGCGGGCAAUAAGAGCUGUCAUUCUUCAUUCAGUAUGUGCUAUCAGUAAGGAAUUCUCAUUCUUCUUUUGAACUUUCCAACUGUUUUGUGGGAUGCAUGACUCCCAAGAGAACAAUCAGUCUUUUAAACUCUUUGCUAGCUGAAUUUUUAAAUGGUGCACUUCAGAUGAAGUUCUUACAAACUGGUAAAUAUUUUAAUUUUCUUCAGUAAUUUUCAAUGUCAGUAGAGCUAUGUCUAUUAUACCCAUACAAACCAGUGCAACAUAAUUUGUCUUAAAGUGACAUAAAGAAACUGAACAUGGAAAAGAACUGAAAUAUAGUUAGGAUUUACAAUUUAAAAAUUAAUAUAUAAAUCACUAGUGAUCUUUUCAAGACAGAACAGCUGAAAACUAUUUCCACUACAGGAAGUAGAUAUUGAACAAAUGUGGAUAAAUGUAGAAAUUGUGGAAGAUGUCCAACUUGGAGAAUUGCCAAAACAAUAAAAUUAAUACAUGUUAUAUAAAUUGUGAAAUU
rnacentral:lncRNA from 1 species